AAAAGAUGCAGUAUUCGAUAUCAUUUUAUAAUAGAAGAUUGAGUGAAAGAAAUAUAUGUUCUUUCAUUGGUAAGAAUAGAUUAUACUAACAAAAUAUUCCAUAUCUUGAAGUUACUACUUGAAUUAAAGGUUCUAAGAUUUGUACUAUUUGUUGGGGGGCUUACAAUGGGGGUUGAAUAGGUUGUUUUAGAAAACUUAACAAUCUUUUGUGGAAAAUAACUUACGCUAAAUAAAGAUCUAGUCAAUGUGAUGUUUCAAAACUCGGAAUCGUAUAUAGUGAUUUGAUUUUAUCCCUAUACCUACGUCUGCUCUUCAAACUAAUAGCAUUAAGUUGGGCUGGAUUGCAUUAUUAAUUUGCUUAGAAAGUCAUAAUUAGCAAACAUUUAUCCAAUCACAUAAUAGAUCACAUUACUAAGACUUAGGUGUUGCUCUUACUCUUGUACACUUAAUCUUUAGUACAAUUAUUAAAACAUCAUGAAUACAAUACUUAGAAAAACAAUCCAAAGAGAACGUAGGGGCCUGAAAUAUUAUCCCACAACCGGGAUGAGACUGUGGCUCACAACCGGGAUCAUGCUUGGGAUCAUCAUCCCGAUCCUCCUCAAAUCUUUCACCACUAGGCUCAAUUUCUUCAAACUCUUCAUCUCCUUCUUCUCGCUCAUCCUCAGCUUCAAAUGCUGGCUCGUCUUCGGGAAAUCUAGGGGCUUGAAAUAUUAUCCCAUAAUCGAGAUGAGACUAUGUCUCGUCAAGUUCUACCCCCUAAGACCCGAUUAGUAAACUAAUACACCUUAAGGCUGCCUAUGCACAACAUGAGUCAGAGGACUUAUCUUGGCCUCAGAUUCCACCUGCAUAUUAGCACAGAUCAAAUAGGCAUCCAAGCAAUCACAUCACUGAUCGAAGCAUCGAUCAGAUCGACCUAGUCGAUUACACGCCAAAAAGACCACUCACAGUCAUUUCCAUUCAAUUAAUUAAUCCACAAGCAACGAUCAAUCGACCUAGUCGAUUACGUAUCAACAAGACCACUUCCGGUCAUUUCAACUAUUACAACUCAAUUCCC
rnacentral:lncRNA from 1 species